rnacentral:rRNA from 1 species
UACAGAGGGUGCAAGCGUUGUUCGGAAUUAUUGGGCGUAAAGCGCGUGUAGGCGGCUUUGCAAGUCGGGUGUGAAAGCCCUCAGCUUAACUGAGGAAGUGCGCCCGAAACUGCAGAGCUUGAGUACCGGAGAGGAUGGCGGAAUUCCCCAAGUAGAGGUGAAAUUCGUAGAUAUCGGGAGGAACACCGGUGGCGAAGGCGGCGACCUGGGUAGAUACUGACGCUGAGGUGCGAAAGCGUGGGGAGCAAACAGG